AGAGUUUGAUCCUGGCUCAGAGCGAACGCUGGCGGCAGGCUUAACACAUGCAAGUCGAGCGGGCGUAGCAAUACGUCAGCGGCAGACGGGUGAGUAACGCGUGGGAACGUACCUUUUGGUUCGGAACAACACAGGGAAACUUGUGCUAAUACCGGAUAAGCCCUUACGGGGAAAGAUUUAUCGCCGAAAGAUCGGCCCGCGUCUGAUUAGCUAGUUGGUGAGGUAACGGCUCACCAAGGCGACGAUCAGUAGCUGGUCUGAGAGGAUGAUCAGCCACAUUGGGACUGAGACACGGCCCAAACUCCUACGGGAGGCAGCAGUGGGGAAUAUUGGACAAUGGGCGCAAGCCUGAUCCAGCCAUGCCGCGUGAGUGAUGAAGGCCCUAGGGUUGUAAAGCUCUUUCAGCGGGGAAGAUAAUGACGGUACCCGCAGAAGAAGCCCCGGCUAACUCCGUGCCAGCAGCCGCGGUAAUACGGAUGGGGCUAGCGUUGUUCGGAAUUACUGGGCGUAAAGCGCACGUAGGCGGACCAUCAAGUUGGGGGUGAAAUCCCGGGGCUCAACCCCGGAACUGCCUCCAAAACUGCUGGUCUGGAGGUCGAGAGAGGUGAGUGGAAUUCCGAGUGUAUAGGUGAAAUUCGUAGAUAUUCGGAGGAACACCGGUGGCGAAGGCGGCCACCUGGUCCGGCACUGACGCUCAGCGCGAAAGCGUGGGGAGCAAACAGGAUUAGAUACCCUGGUAGUCCACGCCGUAAACGAUGGGUGCUAGAUGUCGGGGGGCUCGCCCUUCGGUGUCGGAGCUAACGCGUUAAGCACCCCGCCUGGGGAGUACGGUCGCAGAUUAAAACUCAAAUGAUUGACGG
rnacentral:rRNA from 1 species